UCGCUUCAGAAGCAAAUAUACUAAUAUUGGAACGAUAUAGAGAUGAUAAGCAUAGCCCGUGCACAAGGAUGAUAUGCAAAUUCGUGAAGCAUUCCAUAUUUUU
ensembl:snRNA LOC120094983 U6 spliceosomal RNA